GGCGGCGUGCCUAACACAUGCAAGUCGAACGGGGUAAUGACUUCGGUUAUUACUUAGUGGCGAACGGGUGAGUAACGCGUGAGGAACCUGCCUCUCAGUGGGGGGACAACAGUUAGAAAUGACUGCUAAUACCGCAUAAGCGCACAGUACCGCAUGGUACGGUGUGAAAAACUCCGGUGGUAUGAGAUGGACCCGCGUCUGAUUAGCUAGUUGGUGGGGUAACGGCCUACCAAGGCGACGAUCAGUAGCCGGCCUGAGAGGGUGAACGGCCACAUUGGGACUGAGACACGGCCCAAACUCCUACGGGAGGCAGCAGUGGGGAAUAUUGCACAAUGGGGGAAACCCUGAUGCAGCGACGCCGCGUGAGCGAUGAAGUAUUUCGGUAUGUAAAGCUCUAUCAGCAGGGAAGAAAAUGACGGUACCUGACUAAGAAGCACCGGCUAAAUACGUG
rnacentral:rRNA from 1 species